GAUGAGAACGCAGCGAAAUGCGAUAAGUAAUGUGAAUUGCAGAAUUCAGUGAAUCAUCGAAUCUUUGAACGCACAUUGCGCCCGUCAGUAUUCUGGCGGGCAUGCCUGUUCGAGCGUCAUUACGCCCCUCAAGUCCCCUGUGGACUUGGUGUUGGGGAUCGGCGAGGCUGGUUUUCCAGCACAGCCGUCCCUUAAAUUAAUUGGCGGUCUCGCCGUGGCCCUCCUCUGCGCAGUAGUAAAACACUCGCAACAGGAGCCCGGCGCGGUCCACUGCCGUAAAACCCCCCAACUUUUUAUAGUUGACCUCGAAUCAGGUAGGACUACCCGCUGAACUUAAGCAUAUCAAUAAGCGGAGGA
rnacentral:misc_RNA from 1 species